rnacentral:rRNA from 1 species
UGGGGAAUAUUGCACAAUGGAGGGAACUCUGAUGCAGCGACGCCGCGUGAGUGAUGAAGGAAUUCGUCUCGUAAAACUCUGUUCUAUGGGAAGAAAAGGACUGUACUAUAGGAGAAAGCUCCGGCUAAAUACGUGCCAGCAGCCGCGGUAAUACGUAUGGAGCGAGCGUUGUCCGGAAUUAUUGGGCGUAAAGGGUGCGCAGGCGGCUUUACAAGUUGGAUGUGAAAUAUUGUGGCUCAACCACAAACGUGCAUCCAAAACUGCAAAGCUUGAGUUAAGGAGAGGUAAGUGGAAUUCCUGGUGUAGCGGUGUAAUGCGUAGAUAUCAGGAGGAAUACCGGUGGCGAAGGCGACUUACUGGACUUAAACUGACGCUAAGGCACUAAAGCGUGGGGAGCAAACAGG